CAGCAGCCGCGGUAAUACGUAGGGUGCGAGCGUCAAUCGGAAUUACUGGGCGUAAAGCGUGCGCAGGCGGUUUUGUAAGACAGGCGUGAAAUCCCCCGGCUCAACCUGGGAAUGGCGCUUGUGACUGCAAAGCUAGAGUGCGGCAGAGGGGGAUGGAAUCCCGCGUGUAGCAGUGAAAUGCGUAGAUAUGCGGAGGAACACCGAUGGCGAAGGCAAUCCCCUGGGCCUGCACUGACACUGAGAGACGAAAGCUAGGGGAGCAAAUGGGAUUAGAUACCCCUGUAGUCCCUGUCUCUUAUAC
rnacentral:rRNA from 1 species